UGAUGGGGAAAUGUGAUCACGGAAAACGACAAUAUUUUCCGACGGAAACAAGCAAUCCAAGCAUGGCCUCUCAAAGAAGUCAAGGCAAAUCUUAGACAGUAGACAAAGCUGCAGAUAUAUUGUUGGGGCAAUAUUCACCACUUAUGAAUCGACAGCCAAGAAAUUAUCAUCAAGAAGGACUGAUCAAUUGUCGGCAGAUAUGAAAGGGAGAAAGGAAGCUGAUUAUGCUAGCUUGUGUAUUAGAAGACAUGCAUCAUAUCAAGGUCCUAAAAAUUAGGGACGUGUGAGUUAUGAAUUUUUAGAAGUAAGGAAGUGGGUAAUUCCUACUCCCCCCAUUUCAACUGAUAUGGCUAAAGUGGCAAGUGGUUUUCUUGGAGGUGGACCAUUAAAUCAGCAAUGAACUUAUGAAAUAAAGGAGUGGACCAUCAAAUUAGCCAUAAAGCCACAAGUUGGAGACCAAGCAGUUUUUGCUAGCAAACAACUAUCCUAACUUGGAGGGAAAUUUUUAUCUAUAAAUAGGAGAAAGAUGCUAGAAGAAAAAAUGGAAGAGUCUUCACAGAAAAGGCUCCCACUUAGAAUAGCUCUCUUCUUACUUUCAUAGAUAACUUUAGGAUAGUUUUAGGAUUUCUUUGUAUAGCAACUAUUCCCCUUUCAUUUCUAUUUUGCUUUGAAUCAUUCAACUUCGUGUUCCUAGUUAAUUGCAUGUUAGGUUCUUUAAAUUGUUUAGUUGUUAUGAACUUAUUUCCCAUC